rnacentral:rRNA from 1 species
GAUGAACGCUGGCGGCGUGCCUAAUACAUGCAAGUCGAGCGAACGGACGAGAAGCUUGCUUCUCUGAUGUUAGCGGCGGACGGGUGAGUAACACGUGGAUAACCUACCUAUAAGACUGGGAUAACUUCGGGAAACCGUAGCUAAUACCGGAUAAUCUUUUGAACCGCAUGGUUCAAAAGUGAAAGACGGUCUUGCUGUCACUUAUAGAUGGAUCCGCGCUGCAUUAGCUAGUUGGUAAGGUAACGGCUUACCAAGGCAACGAUGCAUAGCCGACCUGAGAGGGUGAUCGGCCACACUGGAACUGAGACACGGUCCAGACUCCUACGGGAGGCAGCAGUAGGGAAUCUUCCGCAAUGGGCGAAAGCCUGACGGAGCAACGCCGCGUGAGUGAUGAAGGUCUUCGGAUCGUAAAACUCUGUUAUUAGGGAAGAACAGAUGUGUAAGGAACUGUGCACAUCUUGACGGUACCUAAUCAGAAAGCCACGGCUAACUACGUG